CCUCCAUUGUCUCCAAUGGGAGCUCGCCGCGCAUCAGUUUGACGUCAUCACCCCGCGCCGCAAUGAUCCGCGCUGGGUACCGCGCUGUUACCGGCUUCGUUCGGGCCUGGAACCGGAACCGGAACCGAGCCGGGGUGUCGUCCGUUUCCAAUGGGAGACAUGGGAGAGAAGCAGUGCCACCGGAACCGGGGAAGGUGCCCCGAAA